CAUCAACAGAACAGUAAAUAGCAUAUUUUAAAUCAUUCAGAAAAUAAUUUUCAAUUUGCUGCAUUCAUUCAAUCUUAAAUUGUAUUAAAGAAAAGACUGGUGCCACUUCAUGAUAAUGAUAAGAAGAAAUUGUAAAAGAACCAUUUAAAAGUUAAGAAUUUAAUUGUAGAUAUCAUUAACAUCAUUUAUUUAAACUUUUAAAUUAAGUAUGUUUUGUUCUGUUUUUCGUAAAGCAAAUGAAAUUUGGACUUUUUGCUUUUUCAGGAUGAAAAUAGCAAACAGGAAGUUCAAAAGAUUUUUUCCUCAAUUCUAAAAUGGUUAAAUGCAAAACUUGAGGUAAUCUUUUUUUAAAGAUUUAGGAAGGUUAUAUAUAGUUUAUGAUGGUCACAUCACUCAUAUAAGUCCUAGUCAUCCAUCUGACUGGGACAUUACGACUCUCUUAUUUUUUACUAUACUGAGAAAACACAUAAUAAAAAAAUUCCAAUCUGAAUAAUGGAUGUGAUACUCUUGCGAGAUUUUUGUUGUUUGAAAAUUAUUCUUAGUAGACUGUUGCAACAAAGGCUGACUUUUAAAAAAAAUCUAGAAUAGAAAUGAGUAAUAGGCUAAUUUUAUAAUGCUACCAAUUUGAAGUUGAAGAAAAAAAAUAUAUAUAAAGCAUCUCUGGACAGUACACAUUUUGAUAAUUUAUUUUUACAGCUUCAUUCAAUGCUGGCCUCAAUAUUUACAAAGUGCCAAUUGGAAGAAAUUUACCUGAUGUUUAGGUAAGUCAGCAUUACUACAAAAAAAAAGUACACAAAUGCAUUGUUAAGAGUAAAGUUGUAUCCUUGUAUGAAAUUUUCUUGUUAAAAAAUUCAGAUGAGUUAUUUCCCUUGAUUCACAAGUUUAUAUAUUUUAUAGCGUCUAAACUAAUUGAUACAUGACAGGACUCAUUCCUCAAUGAAUUUCUUUUCAUUAAUAACUCAUCACUUUCCAGAUAUACUUAUUAUGUAAAAAUAUGUGCAUCACACAAGCAUACUUAGGAAAGAGGGGGGAUGCAUUGAUGAAAAUUAUUUCAAGGGAGAUAAUUUUAGAUUUUUUUUCUUCAGGACAAAUAUUAUACAAUAUAAUAUAAUAAUCAGAUUUGCAAAUAGAGCUGAAAUAACAGUUGUAUCUUACUCUUAGGUUCAAUUUUUUAUGCAAGAACCACAGGAUGGAAAAGUUUUAAUUACUAUUUGAAACAUUUUGGGCACCAAAUGGUAUAAAAGUCAAGAAUUUAGCAGCAAAACAUAAUUCAAACUGAAUGAAGACUAAAAUAGUGAUAUAGAAAAACUGUUUCUCCUUUUUAUUUUUAAGAACCUUGUAAAAAAAAUUUCAUUCCAUUUUUAGGUAAUAUUUGAUGCUUCCAAUUCUGGGUUUUAAGGGGAAAGGUGGAAAUGAAGGAAGGACAUCAACACACAAAACAUGUCUAAAGACUUGGUAACAAAAUACAACUCUGUAAUUAUUUGCUGUGAUAGAAUAUGGACUUAAACACUAAUGGACUCAGGAACAAACUGUGCAAGUGAAGCAACUUAAACAAAACCACAGACUCAGGAAUAUGUUGUGCAAAACAAUGGACUUCAAAAACAAACAAAAAGAAGACCAAGAAAUAUGAUAUAAUUCAACAAGAAACUUAUAUUUAACAACUAGG
rnacentral:lncRNA from 1 species